rnacentral:rRNA from 1 species
GUGCGUAGCGGUUUGUAGUCAGAUGUGAAUCCGGGGCUCAACCUCGGAACUGCAUUUGAUACUGCAAGCUUGAGUGUGGUAGAGGUUGGUGGAAUUCCUGGUGUAGCGGUGAAAUGCGUAGAUAUCAGGAGGAACACCGAUGGCGAAGGCGGCCUACUGGACCAUUACUGACGCUGAGGCACGAAAGCGUGGGGAGCAAACAGGAUUAGAUACCCUGGUAGUCCACGCCGUAAACGAUGAUUACUCGGUGUUGGGGAUAUUGAGUCCCUGUCUGAGCGAAAUCACUAAUUAAUCCCCCCGCCGGAGUAAGUACGCCCGCAAGAAUAUAACUCGAAGUAAUUGAGG